AGCCCGAUAGUCUAGUCUGGCCAAGGAUUCCGCGCUCUGGACGCGGAGACGGCAGUUCGAAUCUGCCUCGGGCUA
rnacentral:tRNA from 1 species